UACGUAGGGUGCGAGCGUUGCCCGGAUUUAUUGGGCGUAAAGGGCGCGUAGGCGGCCACGCACGUCCGUUGUGAAAUCGCCCGGCUCAACUGGGCGGGGUCAGCGGAUACGGUGUGGCUCGAGCAAGCUAGGGGGCAAUGGAAUUCCCGGUGUAGCGGUGAAAUGCGCAGAUAUCGGGAGGAACACCGAUGGCGAAGGCAGGUCUCUGGGCCACUACUGACGCUGAGAAGCGAAAGCGUGGGGAGCGAACAGG
rnacentral:rRNA from 1 species